UACGUAGGGUGCAAGCGUUAAUCGGAAUUACUGGGCGUAAAGCGUGCGCAGGCGGUUUUGUAAGUCUGUCGUGAAAGCCCCGGGCUCAACCUGGGAAUUGCGAUGGAGACUGCAAGGCUUGAAUCUGGCAGAGGGGGGUAGAAUUCCACGUGUAGCAGUGAAAUGCGUAGAGAUGUGGAGGAACACCGAUGGCGAAGGCCGCCCCCUGGGUCAAGAUUGACGCUCAUGCACGAAAGCGUGGGGAGCAAACAGG
rnacentral:rRNA from 1 species